GGAGUUGUGGCUCAGUGGUAGAGCCCUUGCCUGGUAUGUAUGAGGGCCUGGGUUCAAUCCUCAGCACCCCA
rnacentral:tRNA from 1 species